GACGAACGCUGGCGGCGUGCCUAAUACAUGCAAGUCGAACGAACCGCGACUGAGUGCUUGCACUUGGUCAAGGUGAGUGGCGAACGGGUGAGUAACACGUGGGUAACCUACCUCACAGUGGGGGAUAACAGUCGGAAACGACUGCUAAUACCGCAUAGGACAUGGAAUCACAUGAUUCUGUGAGGAAAGGUGGCGCAAGCUAUCGCUAAGAGAUGGACCCGCGGUGCAUUAGCUAGUUGGUAGGGUAACGGCCUACCAAGGCGAUGAUGCAUAGCCGACCUGAGAGGGUGAUCGGCCACAUUGGGACUGAGACACGGCCCAAACUCCUACGGGAGGCAGCAGUAGGGAAUCUUCCGCAAUGGACGCAAGUCUGACGGAGCAACGCCGCGUGAGUGAAGAAGGUCUUCGGAUCGUAAAGCUCUGUUGUUAGAGAAGAACAGCGCAUAGAGUAAACUG
rnacentral:rRNA from 1 species